rnacentral:rRNA from 1 species
UGGGGAAUUUUGGACAAUGGGCGCAAGCCUGAUCCAGCAAUGCCGCGUGCAGGAUGAAGGCCUUCGGGUUGUAAACUGCUUUUGUACGGAGCGAAAAGGUUUCUCUUAAUACGAGGAGCUCAUGACGGUGCCGUAAGAAUAAGCACCGGCUAACUACGUGCCAGCAGCCGCGGUAAUACGUAGGGUGCGAGCGUUAAUCGGAAUUACUGGGCGUAAAGCGUGCGCAGGCGGUUUUGUAAGACAGAUGUGAAAUCCCCGGGCUCAACCUGGGACCUGCAUUUGUGACUGCAAGGCUAGAGUACGGUAGAGGGGGAUGGAAUUCCGCGUGUAGCAGUGAAAUGCGUAGAUAUGCGGAGGAACACCGAUGGCGAAGGCAAUCCCCUGGGCCUGCACUGACGCUCAUGCACGAAAGCGUGGGGAGCAAACA